UUUGAAAGUUAAAUUUGAUUCUUUGAGUAGUAAGUUCUAAAAUGCCUAACCUGUCCUGGCUGGAGUAAUUAUCGUUAUUACUUUUAUUAACAUAUUGUGCUUUGGCAUUCAUUAUUUAAAGUGGUAGAAUCAAAUAAUAGUAUCCUCCUAGAAUGUAACUUUAGCUUGUACUCACUUUAGCAAUGCCAGUUUAAAUAACAUUAGCUAAACACAUAAUUAUAGACACUGUGCAGAUGAAGGUCGCUGAUUUUCAAAUUGUAUUUUUAGUUAUAUCUGUAAAAUAACUUAAAAUUUGAAUGAAAACAAAAUGUAGUUCCA